UAAGAAAAAUGUAUUAUAAAACCUAAAAGCUUAAGUAUUAAAAAUAAUCUUUUAUUGCAUUUGUAAAAUACUGUAAAAGCAUUACAAAAUGAUGCUUAAAUUUUUUAUUAUAAUUUAGUUUAACAUUAGAUGUUGAUGUAAAUUAGAGAAUAUUUUUUUUGUCUCCUUGGAAAUGAUGAUGUUAUUGGUAAGUUUUGCUUUACCUAAUGUUAAUAUCUUUUUUUUAAGUGCCUAUUAGUUACC